AAAAACAUAGCUAUAAGUAAUUAUUUAUAGUUAUACCUGCCCAAUGUAUUAAAAUUAUAAAUGGCCGCGGUACCCUGACCGUGCUAAGGUAGCGUAAUAAGUUGGCUUUUAAAUGGAGUCAGGUAUGAAUGGAUAAACUGGAUUUAGCUGUCUCAUUUACAUUAUGUUGAAUUUACUAUACAAGUGAAAAAGCUUGUUUUUAAUAAGGGGACGAGAAGACCCUUAAAAUUUUAUUAAAAACUUCUAAUGGUAGUUACAAUUUUGUUGGGGCGACAUAGGAAUAUUUAGAACUUCCUAUAAAAUAUAGGUCGGAUUUAUCAGGAAAGAAUAAAUUACUUAAGGGAUAACAGCAUAAUUCUAAAGUUGAGUUUGUGACCUCGAUGUUGGAUUAGGAAGCUAGUAGGUUAGAUGCUUACUGUGGAGAUUCUGUUCGAAUUAUAACUCCUACGUGAUC
rnacentral:rRNA from 1 species